GGUGAGUAACACGUGGAUAGCCUACCUAUAAGACUGGGAUAACUUCGGGAAACCGGAGCUAAUACCGGAUAAUAUAUUGAACCGCAUGGUUCAAUAGUGAAAGACGGUUUUGCUGUCACUUAUAGAUGGAUCCGCGCCGCAUUAGCUAGUUGGUAAGGUAACGGCUUACCAAGGCGACGAUGCGUAGCCGACCUGAGAGGGUGAUCGGCCACACUGGAACUGAGACACGGUCCAG
rnacentral:rRNA from 1 species